rnacentral:rRNA from 1 species
GACGAACGCUGGCGGCGUGCUUAACACAUGCAAGUCGAACGGAAAGGCCCCUUUGGGGGUACUCGAGUGGCGAACGGGUGAGUAACACGUGCGUAACCUGCCCUUGACUUCGGGAUAACUUCAGGAAACUGGGGCUAAUACCGGAUAGGAAUCAUUGCUGCAUGGUGGGGGUUGGAAAGCUUCGGCGGGUUUGGCUGGCCUCGCGGCAUAUCUGCUUGUUGGUGGGGUAGUGGCUUACCAAGGCUUUGACGGGUAGCCGGCCUGAGUGGGCGACCGGCCACAUUGGGUCUGAGAGACGGCCCAGACUCCUACGGGAGGCAACAGUGGGGAAUAUUGCACAAUGGGCGGAAGCCUGAUGCAGCAACGCCGCGUGCGGGAUGACGGCCUUCGGGUUGUAAACCGCUUUCAGCAGGGGCGAAGCUUGUGGUGACGGUACCUGCAGAAGAAGCACCGGCUAACUACGUG